UGAAAAUAUUAUCUUCUUCUGCCGUCAUCGUUGUCGAAACCAUUUGCAGAGAUUUUGUUCUUUUUUGUGCUUCCAUUCUCGAGAUUUACUUUCCUCAUCAUGAGAGCGUAUCAUUGUCGCAAAAAAAAAUAUUAUAGGAGAAGGUCAUCAAAGGUAUUUAGAGAAAAGAUUAAGGAGAGAACUGGAUAUAUCUUCAAAGAGGAAUUGGUUUAGUCGAUGAAUUGGGGGAGAAAGGGGAAGACGAGAUAUGCGAUUCGGAAUCAGAAUAGAAAAUUAGGGAUUCAAACACGAACGAAGCUGGAAAGAAGCGACCAGUUCUUGAGACAAGUGAUGGCGAGGGGAAAAAUGAAAAGAGAGAUAAGAAGAGGAAGAAGAAGAGUGAUGAUUUCAACAAUUUUUUAUGGUUCCAUGAACAAGACAAAGAUGGAAUUAGGCAAGAAGAGAAUAAUUUGAUCAACUUCGUGCAGAAAACCAGAGACUCUUGCGAAGUAUGUGAUACUCUCCAAACAUUUUUCCAACGUUUUGCAAUGAACUAACAAUUGUCUUUGGUUGUUGGUAUGUGUUGCUCUUUUUAGGAUAGAAAGUAGAGAUGUUGUCUUCUGUUAUGUUUACCAGUAAAGGGAUAAUCCCAAUGCUCUUGGUAGAGCCGACGGGAGCUGUGUAUUGACGACAUACGGCAUUAUCCUGGAGCUUCUUUUAUCCCAGAUUGCAUAUACAUCAGCGAGAGACGCCGACUUGCAACAGUUAUUAGAUAUAUAUAGGUUAAUACUCCAUCUGAUGGAUUCAGCAACCGGAUACGCUCGAUCCUCCGUUAAAGACAUUCAGUAUUUCAGGACUUGGAGGACAACACCGGAACAAGCAUGACUCCGUUGUGCGUCUUAAACAUCUCCCCACCGGAAUCGUAGCUCAGGCCGUCGAGGAUCGUUCGCAGCAUAAGAAUCGUGCUUCUGCUCUGAAUCAACUAGAGUCUUCUUUUUCUCGCUAAUUAAAUAUAUGGAGUUAUUCAAGACGAGAGAAACAAAUUUACGUUAUGCUCGAUGGAAUAAUGCAGAGCCUAAUAGAAGAUAGGGUUACCUCUAUGAGUGGUAUACAUGACUAUACAAUGUGGAGAUUUCCAUGUGUCCUAACACAAGAAGCUGUUUCACCUAUAUUAAGUUUUCAUGUUAUUCGUUACUGUACUACUAAAUAACUUAACCACAUGUCUAUAACAAAAAAGCUUUACCACAUGUAUCAAUAAUAGACUGAGGUAUAUACCACUCAUAGAGACACAUAGUGCUACAAGUACUUGAAAAGAGAUUACCUUACUGACU